AGGGCUGCCGGGAAAAAGGCAAAUGCUGUUUCCCAUUGGUUUACCAGUCAGAUAUGAUACCAGAGCUGUGGCGGCCAUUUUCUCAUCACUAGGGGAGAGCCUGCCUAGCAUGGAACCAGCACAGAGCAAGCAAAAUGAAAAGAACAGAAGCAUGUGGCAGCUAUGAAACUGCUCCACCCAGAUCUCCUGCUGUGAAGCGGUCACUGACUGACGCCCCACUGCUGCUCUCUGAAUCCACCGCCAUCUUGUGACCAAGACCACUCUUGCCACGGCUGCUCCCAGCUGGUGACCGGCAGGCUGGGAUACUGGCGCAGACCCGUUUCCGUGGGAGACGGGCCCGUGCAAGGGAGGCUGGAGAAGAGAGUGUCUAUCCUGGGCAACCAUGUGCCCAGCUUAAAAUUCUCAGCUUUUAUACUAAAGAAGGGGCGAAAGGAUGCUGUGGCCAACCAGGGAUCUCUGCCACUGUUACCUGGUGCUUCCGAGCACUUUUCUGGACCUGAUCACGGAAGGCUCCUCCGGCUGCUUCCCGUCCCGCCUGUGUCUAAUUACUCCCGGGCAGUCUUCCUUUUCAAUGUGGCUUACUUUCCGUCCGCCAUGCUACCACCCAAGUUCAAACUCGGUUAUCCUUCUCCUACUGUUGUAAAAAUAGCCUCUUGCCUCCUCACUCUCUAUGGCAAAUUCCUGCUGGUUAAGCCACCAGAUGAAGCUUCUUAAACACCGCUUUGUGCACCUUUCUUCCCAUUUCGGCCAUUGUCUGUGGGGAAGAGAACAACCCUCAUGUCUUGCUUACCCUGCGGGCCCUCCUCCAUCUGGCCUUUUUCAAACCUUUUGAAGCUCAGUCUUACCACAACCUGGCAAACUGGAGCCGCUUCUCGGCGCUCCUACACAGCUCCUCACCAGCUUCUCUCUUCCUGUCAACUGCCUGUUGUUGGCCCCACAUCCUCUCUCCUUCUCAACCUUCUCCUGGACUAUUGUUCUUUUGAAGACAAAGAGCUUGACUAUGCACAGUGAGAGUUGAUGGGUCCUCACUCCAUUCCACCAUUCCCACAACUCAAUGACUCUGUCUCCAUUUUUCCAUGUCUUCUCUAGUUUCUCCUCUCACUAUCUACUAAUUCUUCCCUCCUAUUUCUACUUCAAAUCCCUGUGGAUUGGCCACUGCUCAUGGUAGCACCUCUUGGACAGCGUUUCCUGCCCCUGAGCAGCUCCUAUUGGCUGUCCUCAGUUAAGACUACACUCUGGUCCCAUCAGCUGUGGCACAUGGGAGAGAAGAUCCCUGGGACGUGGCAUUGCCCCUUAGCAGUGUGGGGAGGGAAGAAGAGCCUGUGGGCAUGAAAGGACUGAGCCACCGUGUGUGUGUGUGGUGUCACAAAGGCCCGCUCUGCACUUCAGCUUCCCAAGGAGGCCAUUGAGUGCUAGCUUUUACCAAGCCUUUGGAGUGGUUCCUACUGCAGCUGCCGGGGACAAUAACAGCCGCAGCCAGGAGAGAUUUCUAGAGGACGUGCACAUCGCCACCUCUCAAAGCUCCCAGCCUCAGAGGUCACACGGGGCCAUUUCCACUGACUUCUCUAGGUCACACAGGCCAGCCAAGAUUCAACAUGGGGCGGGCCUACACAGGGGUGUGAACCCAGGAAGUGCGGCUCAUUGGGAGGCCGUCUUUGAAGACAGAGGGGCCCCUGUGCACGGAGAAGCAGAGGCGGAUUCCAAAGAGGGCAGCUGAGUGUGGGCACGUUUGGAGACCCAGCCGCGGACCUCGACUCCCAGGGGCCAAUCCUGCCCCUCUAGAAAGAGCCAAGUGGGGAGGAUGUUUCUUUAACAAAGACAUCACCUCUGGGCACAAUCUGACAAUCUGACAACCUGCCUGGCCUCAGGCUUCAGUUCUGCCUGAGUUCUUCCGUCUUUACUAGAUUUGGGGUGGAUCGGAGUGGGAAGAAGAGUGAAGAGGAAAUCUAUCUUGAUGGUGGAGACCAAAGGAAGGAUUAUGGGAUGAAGGUGGAAAGAAGUGAGAAUAAAUGUCCUCCUUCAACAGGCUACCGGGGAAAUCAAUGUUCGCUUGUUCCCGCCCUUACAAACCACACUCACCUUUCUCCAAAUCGUGACCCAAACCUUCUUCUUUAUGAAAAAUAAUAAAUACAACAAGAGCUACUAUUAACGAAUGCUUACUGCAGGC